rnacentral:rRNA from 1 species
GACGAACGCUGGCGGCGUGCUUAACACAUGCAAGUCGAACGGAAAGGCCCUGCUUUUGUGGGGUGCUCGAGUGGCGAACGGGUGAGUAACACGUGAGUAACCUGCCCUUGACUUUGGGAAAACUUAGGGAAACUGGGGCAAAAACCGAAAAGGAGCUCCGCCGGAAGGGGGGGGGUGGGAAAGUUUCGGCGGUUGGGGAUGGACUCGCGGCUUAUCAGCUUGUUGGUGGGGUAGUGGCUUACCAAGGCUUUGACGGGUAGCCGGCCUGAGAGGGUGACCGGCCACAUUGGGACUGAGAUACGGCCCAGACUCCUACGGGAGGCAGCAGUGGGGAAUAUUGCACAAUGGGCGGAAGCCUGAUGCAGCAACGCCGCGUGCGGGAUGACGGCCUUCGGGUUGUAAACCGCUUUCGCCUGUGACGAAGCGUGAGUGACGGUAAUGGGUAAAGAAGCACCGGCUAACUACGUG